AAUAGAUACCCAGGUAGUCCACGCCGUAAACGAUGAGUGCUAAGUGUUAGGGGGUUUCCGCCCCUUAGUGCUGCAGCUAACGCAUUAAGCACUCCGCCUGGGGAGUACGGUCGCAAGACUGAAACUCAAAGGAAUUGACGGGGGCCCGCACAAGCGGUGGAGCAUGUGGUUUAAUUCGAAGCAACGCGAAGAACCUUACCAGGUCUUGACAUCCCGUUGACCACUGUAGAGAUAUAGUUUCCCCUUCGGGGGCAACGGUGACAGGUGGUGCAUGGUUGUCGUCAGCUCGUGUCGUGAGAUGUUGGGUUAAGUCCCGCAACGAGCGCAACCCUUGAUCUUAGUUGCCAUCAUUUAGUUGGGUCACUCUAAGGUGACUGCCGGUGACAAACCGGAGGAAGGUGGGGAUGACGUCAAAUCAUCAUGCCCCUUAUGACCUGGGCUACACACGUGCUACAAUGGACGAUACGAAACGGUUGCCAACUCGCGAGAGGGAGCUAAUCCGAUAAAGUCGUUCUCAGUUCGGAUUGUAGG
rnacentral:rRNA from 1 species